rnacentral:misc_RNA from 1 species
CGCACAUUGCGCCCAUUGGUAUUCCUUUGGGCAUGUCUGUUUGAGCGUCAUUACAACCCUCAGCUAACCGCUGGUCUUGAGCCGGAACGGGUAACACCGCGCUGGUUUUAAAGUUGUAAGCUCUGCUGGCUGCUCUGCCAAACCAGAACAUAGUAAAACACUACUUGUUAAGGUGAAGCUAAGCGGUACGGCCUGAACAAAACCUACCCAUUUUUCAAGGUUUGACCUCAGAUCAGAUAAGGAUACCCGCUGAACUUAA